rnacentral:tRNA from 1 species
GCCGCCGUAGUUCAAUGGAUAGAACGAGUGCCUCCUAAGCGCUAGAUACAGGUUCGAUUCCUGUCGGAGGCG